UCUUAUGGAUAAGCAAAGAAAGUGGUUCCUUGACAUGAAAUCUGCUCCUAGUGAAGAUACUGUGAA
rnacentral:pre_miRNA from 1 species